AGUGAACGCUGGCGGUAGGCCUAACACAUGCAAGUCGAACGGCAGCACAGUAAGAGCUUGCUCUUACGGGUGGCGAGUGGCGGACGGGUGAGGAAUACAUCGGAAUCUACUUUUUCGUGGGGGAUAACGUAGGGAAACUUACGCUAAUACCGCAUACGACCUACGGGUGAAAGCAGGGGAUCUUCGGACCUUGCGCGAUUGAAUGAGCCGAUGUCGGAUUAGCUAGUUGGCGGGGUAAAGGCCCACCAAGGCGACGAUCCGUAGCUGGUCUGAGAGGAUGAUCAGCCACACUGGAGCUGAGACACGGUCCAGACUCCUACGGGAGGCAGCAGUGGGGAAUAUUGGACAAUGGGCGCAAGCCUGAUCCAGCCAUACCGCGUGGGUGAAGAAGGCCUUCGGGUUGUAAAGCCCUUCUGUUGGGAAAGAAAAGCAGCAGGUUAAUACCCCGCUGUUCUGACGGUACCCAAAGAAUAAGCACCGGCUAACUUCGUG
rnacentral:rRNA from 1 species